CAGUCGCCGCGGGAAUACGAAGGGGGCUAGCGUUGCUCGGAAUGACUGGGCGUAAAGGGCGCGUAGGCGGCGGCCAAAGUCAGGCGUGAAAUUCCUGGGCUCAACCUGGGGGCUGCGCUUGAUACUUGGUUGCUUGAGUGGGGAAGAGGGUCGUGGAAUUCCCAGUGUAGAGGUGAAAUUCGUAGAUAUUGGGAAGAACACCGGUGGCGAAGGCGGCGACCUGGUCCUUGACUGACGCUGAGGCGCGAAAGCGUGGGGAGCAAACAGGAUUAGAUACCCCAGUAGUCCCUGUCUCUUAUAC
rnacentral:rRNA from 1 species